AAUCAACGCUGGCGGCGUGCCUAACACAUGCAAGUCGAACGCGAAAAUUCCUUCGGGAAUGAGUAGAGUGGCGUCCGGGUGAGUAACGCGUGGGUAAUCUACCUUCGGGUGGGGAAUAACCCAGGGAAACUUGGGCUAAUACCGCAUAAUGCAGCGGCUCGACAUCGAGAUAGUUGUUAAAGCAGCAAUGCGCCUGAAGAAGAGCCUGCGUCUGAUUAGCUUGNGGUAGGGUAACGGCCUACCAAGGCUGCGAUCAGUAGCUGGUCUGAGAGGACGGCCAGCCACAAUGGCACUGAAACACGGGCCAUACUCCUACGGGAGGCAGCAGUGGGGAAUUUUGCGCAAUGGGCGAAGCCUGACGCAGCAACGCCGCGUGAAGGAU
rnacentral:rRNA from 1 species